rnacentral:lncRNA from 1 species
GCGUACAGAUCAAGAUGAAUGAUCGGCAUCAAGAGCUAUAGUUAAACAUAGAAAUGUUUAAAUAUGUGAAGAGAUAACUUGUACCAAAAGGUAGUAGAUUUCCUUAUAACCAACUAGAAUUAGAUUGAAUGGGAUCUGUAACCUUGCCCCACCCCCCCGGACUAUAUAAGGGCGGAACGGACCCCCCUCAAAAACCUAAGUCAUAUUCGAUAUGCUAUGUGCUGAGAAUACAACCCCGAGCAUAGGACACAUGGUAUUACAUCAAUUUGGUGGCCCAAACCUGGUAAAGUUUCCUGUGUCCUUGUGUUCAUCCAUCUAGCUCUAGGUACCACGAUCCCCUCUACACAAUCUACCACCUUGGUCUACCCCAUGGUGGAUUGCCGGACUAUUCCCCCGACACAACCAUACAUGCUGCAAAAAUAGGGGCCAUCAUCAUUAUAUGCAGAACAAUAAUCCUGAGAGAUUAGAUGAGUGCAUCAGAUUAAUGGCUUCACCCGCAAGGUUACAUAGCUGGACGAGAAGAGUAGAUACAAUCUACCCUACUAAUUGACCAGUUAGUUCUUUGCUAGACCCACUCAGCAAACUCCCCCACCUGAGAUGACCUUUCCUCCACCUACCCGUUUUUAUGCACCCAUUAAUCCAACUCUAUCAAAAUAGACUGUACAGAUCUCUCCUCAAAUCCUAUUCUCACUGAUCACUCAGAUCCAAUGGCUCAUGUUCUUUGGUUAGUCCACCCCUCCCUCAUCCCUUCCCACGCCGCAGUCACGCCCACCUGCCCUCUCUUGAUUCCAACCCUUCUCCUCACCCCGGCCGUGUCUGUCCCUCUCCUCCUCCCCUUCGUCUCCUCCAUCCUCCCCGUCCACUCGCCUCUCCCCUUCUCUCCCUCCCCUCAUUCUCCUCCCCCCUCCGCUCACCCCACACCUCGUGCAUGUGGUGAGGAGUGGUGGUGGGGUGAGGCAUGGCGGUAGCCCGUCGAGGAGUAGCCAGGGGGGGUGUGGGAUUCCGCGUCGGGGAUGGCAGCCGCAGAUUCGGUGGAUGGCAGCGCCCCGCUCUCUGUCGCUGCUUGCCUCUCAGGUUCGGCGGGCGCGGGAUCUGGCAGCAAGGAUGUUGACAGCAAUUAGCAUGCUAAAUUGUGAACCGCAAGUGCAUGGAUCAGUUGUAGCUUUUUCCUUAGAGAUUCCCCUAAGGUUUAUCAAUCCAUGAAAUAAGGAAUUUGCAUGCUUAACUAACCACUAAUGAAUGUAACCAAAAGCUCUUUGUAUAGGAUAUGAUUAUGCUAAUAAAAGAGCUAAGUAGCCGAUAUCUAGCAAAUAAAGAAUAGAGGGUGUGAACAAGAUAGAUUAAACGCUUGUCCUAGGGAUCUAGAAUCACUUGUAGAUGCAACCACCAUGCAUGAAAGUAUUGUCUAAGUGUUAUCAUGAGUGGAUGUGAACCAUACCCAACACUUUCC